rnacentral:rRNA from 1 species
UACGAAGGCCCCGAGCGUUAUCCGGAUUUAUUGGGCGUAAAGCGUUAAUAGGCGGUUCUGUAAGUAUUUGGUUAAAUCUCAUGGCUCAACCAUGAGGCUGCCGGAUAAACUGCAGGACUUGAGGUCGGAAGAGGCAAGCGGAACUACCGGUGUAGUGGUAAAAUGCGUUAAUAUCGGUAGGAACACCAAAGGCGAAGGCAGCUUGCUGGUACGAACCUGACGCUAAAUAACGAAAGCGUGGGGAGCGAAUGGGAUUAGAUACCCCAGUAGUCCACGCCGUAAACGAUGGAUGCUAGGGAUUGGGAGUUUCGACCCUCUCAGUCUCGUUCAAGCUAACGCGUUAAGCAUCCCGCCUGGGAAGUACGGCCGCAAGGCUAAAACUCAAAGGAAUUGACGGGAGCCCGCACAAGCGGUGGAGCAUGUGGUUUAAUUCGACGAUAAACGAGAAACCUUACCAGGUCUAGACAUUCAGCUGCACGCCCCUGGAAACAGGGGAAGCCUUCGAGGGUGCUGAACAGGUGCUGCAUGGCUGUCGUCAGCUCGUGGCGUGAGCUGUUGGGUUAAGUCCUCUAACGAGCGCAACCCCUGUCGAGUGUUAAAAUAUUCGCUCGAGACUGCCGGCGAUAAGCCGGAGGAAGGAAGGGAUGACGUCAAGUCAGCAUGGUCCUCUGACGACCUGGGCCACACACGUGCUACAAUGGGGUGCAACAAUGGGUCGCCAAAGCGUAAGCUGGAGCCAAUCCCACCAAACCACCCCCAAGUUCGGAUUGAAGGCUGCAACUCGCCUUCAUGAAGCUGGAAUCGCUAGUAAAUGCGCAUCAGCUAUGGCGCAUUGAAUACGUUCUCGGGCUU